UGGCGGACGGGUGAGUAACGCGUGAGAAUCUGCCCUCAGGAGGGGGACAACAGCUGGAAACGGCUGCUAAUACCCCAUAUGCCGCGAGGUGAAAUGAAUUUCGCCUGAGGAUGAGCUCGCGUCUGAUUAGCUAGUUGGUGUAGGUAAUGGCUCACCAAGGCAUCGAUCAGUAGCUGGUCUGAGAGGAUGAUCAGCCACACUGGGACUGAGACACGGCCCAGACUCCUACGGGAGGCAGCAGUGGGGAAUUUUCCGCAAUGGGCGAAAGCCUGACGGAGCAACGCCGCGUGAGGGAUGAAGGCCUCUGGGCUGUAAACCUCUUUUAUCAAGGAAGAAGAUCUGACGGUACUUGAUGAAUAAGCCACGGCUAAU
rnacentral:rRNA from 1 species